GCCAGGUAAUAACCAUAGAGGAGCCAAACAAAAAAAACAGUUAUAAUAUUCAGUAUAACUUAAAUUUGAUUAUAAAAGCAGGUUUAGAAAACUAUAACUGAUCACAUGAGUCAGGGUCAGAGAGCUAUACCUAGAGAGAGAGAGAGAGACAGGUUCUCACCACUCCAUGACGCUUGAAUCGAUCGGGGUUCCUAGGUGGUGGUGGCAGCUGAGGAUCCGGAGUGCUGGAGACAGGCAGAGCCCCCAGCAUGAUCAGUCAGAAGAUGGAGUUCCAAUGGAACUCAAACAGAUUUUGGAUCCAGGCAUCAGAAAACUUACUUGAGUGUGGGCAGGGGGUUUUGUAGGGAAACAAGAAUGGUUCAAGGGAGAACACUAGAUUUGUUUAUGUGUAAACUGAUGGCUCAAGGGAAUAUACCAAAGUUGUAGUGUUCAAGCUAGACAAUAGUUACUGAUCAUUCCUGGCUAUGGGUGGUGUUCCUUCAAGGGAGCUCACAAUGCAAUUAGGCAGCUUCAGUAUUUUGGAUACCAAUAAAGGAUUUAUUAAAGCUAAUGUUAAAAAAAAAAAUUACAUAAUACACAGGUUAAGAAAAGAGUCUGUGUACAUCUGAGUAUAGUGCUUAGAUUAUCCACUAACACGAAGUUUGUUUUAAAAGUCAAAGAUACAUGAAGUACAUAGUCAGCAAUAACUCAAAUUUAGGGGAAUAAAUUUAACAAUACGGUUUAGAUAUUAGAAUCCGAAUACUUGGAUACAUCACUCAUUAAAAGUUAUACAGAGAGUUGUUUGUCGAAAGCAAAUAUAUCAUUGAGUGUAAAUUAUCUCUUGGUAAUUGAGAAUUUGCAGGCGUAGGUUCAUUAACAUCUGGAGCAGAGAUUCCCCCAUCAUGCAGUGCUUCCCUGCUUUUCUGGUCCCAGAGUUCAAUGCGGUUCUUGCCUUGGAAUCUCUGUUCUCCAUUCUGUAUGCUAAUGGAGGUGCUUCCUUGUCCCAUCUUCUAUGAAAAUGAGGCUAGGGGAGUUGCCUUAAUCCUGUCACCCUUGUCCGGAGGGGUUUAGGUGUGUCUCCCACCGCCUUUUCAUUGCUUUCCGUAAGUCUUUCUUCUGAUUGGUUUUGGUUCAAGCAGAGGCGGGGGGGGCGGGUCCUUGAAGAGUCAGACAGGCCGGAUACUGUGCCCUGGUUCCCCAAGAACACAGAACUGAUAGGUAACACUGCCUGCCCUGGGGCUGGGGGCAGAGUCCAAGGCGGCUCGUUAAUUGGGUGUUGUCACCAGAGGGCUCUGGUUAUUGCUAAGGGAGAGGAGUAGGCGGGUGUGUGUCUCUCUCUGCUCAGGAUAUUAGAGCUCUGGAGUUGAGCUCCCUAGGUCUGAAGUUGCUGCCUCCUGUAUUUUGACCUGGGAGCCCAAACCUAGAAGCUGCUUCUUAUCCAGCAGAGGAGAGACCUUUGUUAAAUCCCCCUCUGUGCCCAGCCCAGUUGGGAACUUGCUGUGGUGGCUGGAACCAGCCCAUGGGGCAGCCCCGGGCUCUGCCGACACGAGCUCCUAAGCCGGAGCCUACAGGUGAUGGGGGGGGACCUGGGGGAAAGGGCUGGAGCCGGGCAGGAAAGUGACUCUGCUCAAAGGGCCCCUUUCAGGGACCUGCUGGUGAGUUUGACCUACAUGGGGAGGGUGCUCCCUGUGUGUCUGUGAGUCCCAGAGCUGCUGCCCUCAUGGAUACACCCAGGUUCAAACCUCUGUUAGCAGUGGCUGAUCUGCCUAAUGAGACCAAAGCCCACAACAAUGGAGCAGUCACCAUUUCUCCUAAGGCGAGGGACAAUGAUAAAAAAGGAGAGAGGAGAGACUGGAAGGGGCACCAGGAAAAACAAAUGGAGAGGGAGGUUCCCAGCUCCCAGACCUGCCCGGAUCCGUUCCCUGCAUCUCCUGGGAACAAGGGGAGGAGCUGAGAGAGAGAAAACCAGUUGCUGACUCUGCUGAACACGGCACUACUUGGGAGGGAAAGGGGAGAGUUAGAGGGGGUGACACGACAAUGUCAGGGGGAAUCCCCCAAAGUGGCUCCUUUGAUUCUGCUCUUUUUCCGGCAUUCAGCUCAGAGAUGCUGUUACGGGGAGAGUUUAAAAGUGCCCCAGUGGGUUUAGUUCUUCUGGGAGGGGCCUGGCCUGGAUGGUAAUGAACUAAUUGUAUUUCUUCCCAGCAUGGCAGAGUCCAGAGCAUCUGUCUGCAGGGAGAGAGCCUGGGGGGAAUCAGGGUGUGACAUGGACUCAAGCCCCUUCUGAAACCUUCCCAAUAGCCCCUCUGGCCCCGACAGAUUUCACUCGAGAUCAUCCCGUCUUCCAGGAGACAGGGCAGGGAAAUGGCUGUGAUGGAGCCAGCUCAGAUGCCGGUGACCUUCGAGGAGGUGGCUGUGUAUUUCACCCAGGGGCAGGGAGCUCUGCUGGACCCCAAUCAGAGAGCUCUCUACAGGGACGUCAUGCGGGAAAAUUAUGAGAUGGUGACCUCGCUGGGAUUUCCCAUUCCCAAACCUGAGCUGAUCUCCCACCUGGAACGAGGGGAAGAGCUGUGGGUGCCUGAUCUCCAGCCCUCCGAGGAAAGAGAGAUCCCGAGAGGCCCCCACACAGCAGGUGAUGAGAGAGUGAAUGAGAAGGAGGAGGGGAAUCAUCAUGAGGAAGUUCCUGGGGAAGUGGAAUCACAGGGGACCUUUAUGGGAAGAGCAGAAGGGAGUUUAUCCCAGUGCUUGAAAGAGGGAGAAGCCUGGGGAAAUUGGCACAGGUCAGAGAGGCAGCUGGAAAACCACCCAAGGAAGAAAGUGGAUGAAUCUAUUAAAUGUGGGGGAGUAUACAAGGAUACCACAGCCCAGCAGACAAAUCCGAAGGAAGAGAAACCCUAUCAGUGCCUCGAAUGUGGGAAAGGAUUCAUUCUGAGAUCACACCAUGUGACACAACAGACAAUCCAUACUGGAGAGAAACCCCUUCAAUGCUUGGACCGUGGGGAAAGCUUCAAUAAACUCUCACUUCUUAAUAACCAUGGGAGGAGCCACAGGGGAGAGAAACCCUAUCAAUGCCUUGAGUGCGGAAACUGUUUAAAUUGGAAGUCAGCGUUAAUUACACAUCAGAUAAGCCCAACACGAGAGAGACCCCAUAAGUGCUUAGACUGUGGAAAAUGUUUCAUAUGGAGGUCACACCUUGUUAAACAUCAGGCAUUCCACAUAGGAGAGAGACACCACAAGUGCUUGGACUGUGGGAAAAGUUUCAUACAGAGGUCAGACCUUAUUAAACAUCAGGCAAUCCACACAGGAGAGAGACCCCAUAAGUGUUUGGACUGUGGGAAAAGUUUCAGGAACAGAUCAGCCCUUUCUAAACAUGAAGCAAUCCACACAGGAGAGAGACCCCAUAAGUGCUUGGAUUGUGGGAAAAGUUUCAUACAGAGGUCAGACCUUAUUAAACAUCAGGUAAUCCACACAGGAGAGAGACCCCAUAAGUGCUUAAACUGUGGGAAAAAUUUCAUGAGGAGGUCAGACCUUCUUAAACAUCAGGCAAUCCACACAGGAGAGAGACCCCAUAAGUGCUUGGACUGCGGAAAAAGUUUCCUGUGGAGGUCAGACCUUGUUAAACAUCAGGCAAUCCACACUGGAGAGAGACCCCAUAAGUGCUUGGACUGUGGGAAAAGUUUCAUACGGAGGUCAGACCUUGUUAAACAUCAGGCAAUUCACACAGGAGAGAGACCCCACAAAUGCUUGGACUGUGGGAAAAGUUUCAUACAGAGGUCAGACCUUGUUAAUCAUCAGGCAAUCCACACAGGAGAGAGACCCCAUAAAUGCUUGGACUGUGGGAAAAGUUUCAGAAACAGAUCAGCCCUUUUUAAACAUCAGGCAAUCCAUACAGGACGGAGACCCCAUAAGUGCUUGGACUGUGGAAAAAGUUUCAUACAGAGGUCAGACCUUGUUAAACAUCAGGCAAUCCAUGCAGGACAGAGAUCCCACAAGUGCUUGGACUGUGGGAAAAGUUUCAUACAGAGGUCAGACCUUGUUAAACAUCAGCUAAUCCACACAGGAGAGAGACCACAUAAGUGCUUGGACUGUGGGAAAAAUUUCAUACGGAGGUCAGACCUUGUUAAACAUCAGGCAAUCCACACAGGAGAGAGACCCCACAAGUGUUUGGACUGUGGGAAAAGUUUCAUUCAGAGGUCAAACCUUGUUAAACAUCAAGCAAUCCACUCAGGAGAGAGACCCCACAAGUGCUUGGACUGUGGGAAAAGUUUCACACAGAGAUCACACCUCAUUAAACAUGGGAGAAUCCACACAGCAGAGAGACCCCAUAAAUGCUUGGACUGUGGGAAAAGUUUCAGAAACAGAUCAGCCAGUGUUAAACAUCAGGCAAUCCACACAGGAGGGAGACCCCAUAACUGCUUAUGCUGUGGGAAACGUUUCACACAGAGCUCAGACCUCAUCAAACAUCAGGCAAUCCACACAGGAGAGAGACCCCACAAGUGUUUAGUCUGUGGCAAAGGUUUCAUAUGGAGAUCACACCUUGUUAAACAUCAGGCAUUCCACACAGGAGAGAGACCCCACAAGUGCUUGGACUGUGGGAAAAGUUUUGUACAGAGGUCAGACCUUGUUAAACAUCAGGCAAUCCACACAGGAGAGAGACCACAUAAGUGCUUUGACUGUGGGAAAAGUUUCAGAAACAGAUCAGCCCUUUUUAAACAUCAGGCAAUCCACACAGGAGAGAGACCUCAUAAGUGCUUGGACUGUGGGAAAAGUUUCAUACAGAGGUCAGACCUUAUUAAACAUCAGGCAGUUCACACAGGAGAGAGACCCCAUAAGUGCCUAGACUGUGGAAAAAAUUUCAUGAGGAGGUCAGACCUUCUUAAACAUCAGGCAAUCCACACAGGAGAGAGACCCCAUAAGUGCUUGGACUGUGAAAAAAGUUUUCUACGGAGGUCAGACCUUCUUAAACAUCAGGCAAUCCACACAGGAGAGAGACCCCAUAAAUGUCUGGACUGUGGGAAAAGUUUCAUACGGAGGUCAGACGUUGUUAAUCAUCAGGCAAUCCACACAGGAGAGAGAUCCCACAAGUGCUUGGACUGUGGGAAAAGUUUCAGAAACAGAUCAGCCCUUUUUAAACAUCAGGCAGUCCACACAGCAGGGAGACCCCAUAAGUGCUUGAACUGUGGGAAAAGUUUCAUACAGAGGUCAGACCUUGUUAAACAUCAGGCAAUCCACACAGGAGAGAGAUCCCACAAAUGCCUAGACUGUGGGAAAAGUUUCAUACGGAGGUCAGACCUUGUUAAACAUCAGGCAAUCCACACAGGAGAGAGACCACAUAGCUGCUUGGACUGUGGGAAAAGUUUCAUACAGAGGUCAAACCUUGUUAAACAUAAGGCAAUCCAUACAGGAGAGAGACCCCACAAGUGCUUGGACUGUGGGAAAAGUUUCACACAGAGAUCACACCUCAUUAAACAUGGGAGAAUCCACACAGGAUCUAAACUUCUGUGACACAGGGAGAGAAAGGGUUAAGCAACUUGCAUGUAAUUGACCCAGAUUCAACCUUUAGAGAUAUGUUAGAAAAGUGUGUCCACAUUAGAUAAGCUUGAGCUUUGAAAUGUAAACUUGUGUUGUUAAAGACAUGGAAGGAGAUGGUAACUGUAGUAGUCUAUGUUUACCUUUAUCUUGUUAGAGGUUAACAAUGGAACCGAACGGUUCCUGUCUAGGGCUGUAUUCUGUUAAGUCAGAGAUCAAAAGGGAAUAUUAACAUGUAAAUGAAACUUGGGUGUAAUAAUGUCAUUGUCUGCAUGUCUCUUUAAAGUUGGUGGUUAACUGUCUAUGAACUGCUUUAUGGAUAAUUACCUUAUGUUAAUCCCUGAAAUUAAUUACUGGUGAUGUUUAGGAAAUAGAAGCUUACUUCAAAAGCCUAGUGAACAAUAGUUCACCCAAGGACUGUGUGCUGACGAGAGGCUGCAAAAAUCUGUAUAAAAACUCUUGGGACCUGAUCUUUUUAUCUCAGAUCUUCUUAAGCUUUAUUUGGGGGAAGUUUGAGUCAGAAGACUGAGAUCUCCAGUCCAGCUGGACCUCCCUGAUAUCGAACAUUUGGACAUUGGACUAGAACAUGAUGAAAUGAUUCUGAAAAGGAUUCUAUUCAAUUCUAAAGCACCAUCUCUGCAGUGAAACUGACCUAAGGACUCUAUUCAUGUCUCCUUUGUCGUGAGAUUUUCUUGUCCUUUGAACAAUGAAAAUGAUCAGCGUCUAUCCGCAAAAACACUAAGGUUGAGUGCUGGAUACGCACUCCGAGAGUCAGAGACUGAAAUGGGGAAGGAAGUGACUGCCUGAUCCCCGCAGAGAUGUGAGAUACAAUCAGGAUGGGGAGAGAGUGGUUGGGUGGACAGGGCCUUGAUGUUAUCUGAUUAAAAUAUGACCAUGUAGAGCAUUGUUGCUACCACUGUGAUAAAAUUGCAAUGAAUCUUACACAAAGUGUGCUGUGUAAGGUGUCAAUGGAAAGGGCAUGAUUUGCUGAAUAUGACUAUGCUACUUGUAUGUAUGUACCAUUUUUGUAUUUGAAGUUAUGACUACUGGCUCUAUACCCGUAUUACAAAAAUGUUUGCUCCUGGGUAACACCCACAAGGUAGUUCACCUGCACAUCUUGGAGGAACUAUUCAAGUUGAGUGGCCCAUCAAAAGAACACUUAACUCACAAUGGCAGACGCCAGCCUACGCUGAACGGACUUUAUGUAAUGGCCUCUACUGUGAGUGACUAAACGAAAUCAGGCAUGGACAUGUGACUUGCCCAUGUGACUCCACACACCAUCUUGUUCCUGUGGUUUGCCACAGUGAGAACAAUGGGGUUCCCUUCACUUGAGAGAAGCUAUAAAAGGCCCUGGAAACAUCUCUGUUUUGCCUUUUUCCUGCUCAAACCUCUGGACCAUGGACUUAUACUAAUGGGAGCAUUCUAACCAAAGGACUGAGGACUUUCCAAUGAUUUGGAAGCAACCAGAGACUUGAUUUAAGCCAGCAGUUUAUUCCAUCACUGCUACAAGCCUGAACCAAGAACUUUGCAUUUAUUGUAUGUAUUUGAUUCCUUUAAUCAGUUGUAAGCCUCACCUUUCUUUCUUUUUCAUAAAUAAGCCUCUAGAUUUUAGAUACUAAAGGAUUGGCAACAGCAUGAUUAUUGGGUAAGAUCUGAGUUGUAUAUUGACCUGGGUGUUUGGCUGGUCCUUUGGGAUCAGGAGAACCUGCUGUUUAAUUAAAUUAAUUGUAAA